UGGGCUUCGGUCCACUAGUAAAGUGGCAGACGAGUGAGUAACACGUGGGCAACCUGCCCGGAGGUGGGGGAUAACCUUUCGAAAGGAAGUCUAAUACCGCAUGACAUUCGCGGAGCUGCGGCUCUGCGGAUCAAAGCUAGCCUAUCCUUGGAAGCUAGCGCCACCGGAGGGGCCCGCGGCCCAUUAGCUUGAUGGUGAGGUAACGGCUCACCAUGGCGACGAUGGGUAGCCGGCCUGAGAGGGUGAUCGGCCACACUGGAACUGAGACACGGUCCAGACUCCUACGGGAGGCAGCAGUGAGGAAUUUUGCGCAAUGGGGGAAACCCUGACGCAGCGACGCCGCGUGGAGGACGAAGGCCUUCGGGUCGUAAACUCCUGUCAAGUGGGACGAAUGCUACAGGGAUGAAUAAGCCCUGUGGUUGACGGUACCACUGAAGGAAGCCCCGGCUAACUCCGUGCCAGCAGCCGCGGUAAUACGGAGGGGGCAAGCGUUGUUCGGAAUUAUUGGGCGUAAAGGGCGCGUAGGCGGCUUGGUAAGUCAGACGUGAAAUCCCGCGGCUCAACCGCGGAACUGCGUUUGAAACUGCCGGGCUUGAGUCCCGGAGAGGGUAGCGGAAUUCCCAGUGUAGCGGUGAAAUGCGUAGAUAUUGGGAGGAACACCAGUGGCGAAGGCGGCUACCUGGACGGGUACUGACGCUGAGGCGCGAAAGCGUGGGGAGCAAACAGGAUUAGAUACCCUGGUAGUCCACGCUGUAAACGAUGGGCACUUGGUGUUGCGGGUAUCGACCCCUGCAGUGCCGAAGCUAACGCAUUAAG
rnacentral:rRNA from 1 species